rnacentral:rRNA from 1 species
GACGAACGCUGGCGGCGUGCCUAAUACAUGCAAGUCGAGCGAACAGACGAGGAGCUUGCUCCUCUGACGUUAGCGGCGGACGGGUGAGUAACACGUGGAUAACCUACCUAUAAGACUGGGAUAACUUCGGGAAACCGGAGCUAAUACCGGAUAAUAUAUUGAACCGCAUGGUUCAAUAGUGAAAGACGGUUUUGCUGUCACUUAUAGAUGGAUCCGCGCCGCAUUAGCUAGUUGGUAAGGUAACGGCUUACCAAGGCAACGAUGCGUAGCCGACCUGAGAGGGUGAACGGCCACACUGGAACUGAGACACGGUCCAGACUCCUACGGGAGGCAGCAGUAGGGAAUCUUCCGCAAUGGGCGAAAGCCUGACGGAGCAACGCCGCGUGAGUGAUGAAGGUCUUCGGAUCGUAAAACUCUGUUAUUAGGGAAGAACAAAUGUGUAAGUAACUAUGCACGUCUUGACGGUACCUAAUCAGAAAGCCACGGCUAACUACGUG